CUGGAGGAGCCAUCAUUCCCAAAUAAAUAAUUCCCCAAUAAAUAAUUCCCAAAUAAAUAAUUCCCAAAUAAUCCCCAAUUCCCCAUUUUCCAGGGAGGAUGGCGAGCUGGAGGAGGGCGAGCUGGAGGAGGAGCCAUCAUUCCCAAAUAAAUAAUUCCCCAAUAAUUCCCCAAUAAUUCCCCAAUAAUUCCCCAAUUCCCUGUGUUUUCCAGGGAGGAUGGCGAGCUGGAGGAGGGCGAGCUGGAGGAGCCAUCAUUCCCAAAUUCCCCAAUAAUCCCCAAUUCCCUGUGUUCUCCAGGGAGGAUGGCGAGCUGGAGGAGGGCGAGCUGGAGGAGCCAUCAUUCCCAAAUUCCCAAAUAAUUCCCAAAUAAAUAAUUCCCCAAUAAUUCCCCAAUUCCCUGUGUUUCCAGGGAGGAUGGCGAGCUGGAGGAGCCAUAAUUCCCAAAUAAAUAAUUCCCAAAUAAAUAAUUCCCAAAUUCCCCAAUUCCCCAUUUUCCAGGGAGGAUGGCGAGCUGGAGGAGGGCGAGCUGGAGGAGGAGCCAUCAUUCCCAGAUAAAUAAUUCCCCAAUAAUUCCCCAAUAAUUCCCAAUUCCCCGUUCUCCAGGGAGGAUGAGGAGCUGGAGGAGCCAUCAUUCCCAAAUAAAUAAUUCCCAAAUAAAUAAUUCCCAAAUAAUCCCCAAUUCCCCGUUUUCCAGGGAGGAUGGUGAGCUGGAGGAGGGCGAGCUGGAGGAGGAGCCAUCAUUCCCAAAUAAAUAAUUCCCAAAUAAUUCCCCAAUAAUCCCCAAUUCCCUGUGUUCUCCAGGGAGGAUGGCGAGCUGGAGGAGGGCGAGCUGGAGGAGCCAUCAUUCCCAAAUAAUUCCCAAAUAAAUAAUUCCCAAAUUCCCCAAUUCCCUGUUUCUCCAGGGAGGAUGGCGAGCUGGAGGAGGGCGAGCUGGAGGAGCCAUCAUUCCCAAAUAAAUAAUUCCCCAAUAAUUCCCAAUUCCCUGUGUUCUCCAGGGAGGAUGAGGAGCUGGAGGAUGGCGAGCUGGAUGAGCCAUCAUUCCCAAAUUCCCCAAUAAUUCCCCAAUUCCCCGUUUUUCUCCAGGGAGGAUGGCGAGCUGGAGGAGGGCGAGCUGGAGGAAGACGACGGCGCCGAGGAGGCUCCGGAGCGCUCCCGUUCCCGCUCCCGUUCCCAAUCCCAAUCCCGCUCCCAGUCCCGCUCCCAGUCCCGCUCCCAAUCCCGGCGGGAGCGGCGCCGCAGCGGCUCCGAGGACGAGAAGGGGCAGCGGCGCCUGAAGCGCAAACGCCGCAAGGAGCGCGACAAGGACAAGCGCAGGGCCAAGAAAAAGAGGAAAUCCAAGCACAAGCGGCACGCUUCGUCCAGCGAGGAAUUCUCGGAUUUCAGCGACGACUCCGAGUUCAGCCCCGGGGAGAAGGGACACCGGAAAUACCGGGAAUACAGCCCGGCCUAUCCCGUGAGUUAAACUGGGAAUACUGGGAAUAAAAACUGGGAAUUACUGGGAAUAAAUACCGGGAAUACAGCCCGGCCUAUCCCGUG
rnacentral:lncRNA from 1 species